CAGUAGCCGCGGUAAUGCGUAGGGCGCAAGCGUUAUCCGGAAUUAUUGGGCGUAAAGAGCUCGUAGGCGGUUUGACGCGUCUGCCGUGAAAGUCCGGGGCUCAACCCCGGAUCUGCGGUGGGUAUGGGCAGACUAGAGUGAUGUAGGGGAGACUGGAAUUCCUGGUGUAGCGGUGAAAUGCGCAGAUAUCAGGAGGAACACCGAUGGCGAAGGCAGGUCUCUGGGCAUUAACUGACGCUGAGGAGCGAAAGCAUGGGGGGCGAACAGGAUUAGAGACCCCUGUAGUCCCUGUCUCUUAUAC
rnacentral:rRNA from 1 species